GACGAACGCUGGCGGCGUGCUUAACACAUGCAAGUCGAACGGAAAGGCCUCUUUCGGGGGGUACUCGAGUGGCGAACGGGUGAGUAACACGUGAGUAACCUGCCCUUGACUUUGGGAUAACUUCAGGAAACUGGGGCUAAUACCGGAUAGGAGCUCCUGCUGCAUGGUGGGGGUUAGAAAGUUUCGGCGGUUGGGGAUGGACUCGCGGCUUAUCAGCUUGUUGGUGGGGUAGUGGCUUACCAAGGCUUUGACGGGUAGCCGGCCUGAGAGGGUGACCGGCCACAUUGGGACUGAGAGACGGCCCAGACUCCUACGGGAGGCAGCAGUGGGGAAUAUUGCACAAUGGGUGGAAGCCUGAUGCAGCAACGCCGUGUGCGGGAUGACGGCCUUCGGGUUGUAAACCGCUUUCGCUCAUGACGAAGCUUUGUGUGACGGUAGUGGGUAAAGAAGCACCGGCUAACUACGUG
rnacentral:rRNA from 1 species